AAUAGAUACCCUGGUAGUCCUUGCCGUAAACGAUGCAUACUUGGUGUAGUUGGACUCAACCCCGACUGUGCCGUAGCUAACGCGUUAAGUAUGCCACCUGGGGAGUACGCCCGCAAGGGUGAAACUCAAAAGAAUUGACGGGGGCCCGCACAAGCAGUGGAGCAUGUGGUUUAAUUCGAUGCAACGCGAAGAACCUUACCCAGGCUUGACAUAUAGAGGACCGCACUAGAGAUAGUGCUUCCCGCAAGGGCCUUUAUACAGGUGCUGCAUGGCUGUCGUCAGCUCGUGCCGUGAGGUGUUGGGUUAAGUCCCGCAACGAGCGCAACCCUUGUCGUUAGUUACCAACACGUAAUGGUGGGGACUCUAACGAGACUGCCUAGGUUAACUAGGAGGAAGGUGAGGAUGACGUCAAGUCCGCAUGGCCUUUAUGUCUGGGGCUACACACGUGCUACAAUGGUCGGUACAGAAGGCAGCAAAGCCGAAAGGUGAAGCAAAUCCCCAAAACCGAUCCCAGUUCGGAUAGAAGUCUGCAACUCGUA
rnacentral:rRNA from 1 species